rnacentral:lncRNA from 1 species
GUAUUUUGCUGAAGAUUUCUGCCUACCUGAGGACCUUCUGGGCUAUCUGAAGCUUCAUUUUAGCAAGAAGCAGGACAUAAUGAAUGAUCUAGUCUGGGCUGUACCCCAAGCCUGACACUGCUACCUGCUCUGCAUAGUGUGGUGACUCCUCAGCCAUGGCUCGCCGUGCACACGGGAGCUCUUCUGCAAUUCUUGUGCUGAACUGGAGCAUGAACCUCUGACAAAUGGGACAGUGUCACCCUUCAUCUGCAAAUGAACAACUGUAUUUGUUCUUCUUAGGCAAAUGAUGCAAUACCUGAGGCCGUUGGCACACUGAACUGAUCUCACAGUUGACUAAUGAGGAGCCAGAGAAGCCAAAGGUGAACAUGAACCAUAUAAUGGGCUUUGAUGCCUUUGUGUGACUUCUUAUGAUCAAGUAGUAUUACAUCAGCAGAAGAGAAGACCAGAAGAGAUUAUAUUCCUCUGGGACUCCCUAAUUUUAGAUUACAGAGCGAGUUAGUCAGAUGAGAGAUGUUUAAAAUGAAUAGGAACUUCUUUCUGUGCACACUUGGGAAUUCCUGGCUUCAAUAACAAAAACCACUAAUAGAACACAGCGGCAAAGAGGAGGCUGAAAUUAUUCUCAUUUCAGUCAAUUUCUGCCCUCACUUACCCCAGUGUAGGCAUGCUCCUUCCUGGUGGCCUGGCUUUGCUGCAGCCAAGGACACUGGGUCACUCCUGGCAGAUCUCCGCUAAUGCUUGCACUGCAGAGCAUCCUGCCCAAUUGCAGCUGGAAAAAUCCAUAUUUUAAUAUAUUUUUUAACAGAGUGUAUUGCAUCCAGUGGUUGAGGCACUGUAAUUAUAACAAUUCAUCACUGUCCUCAGUGUUACUGUUUUGUAAAAUAAACAAUGGUCUUACAACC